UCCGUGUUAACCACGGCAGUCUCCUUAGAGAGCCGAACUGAAGGAUCUCAUCUCUGAAACCCAUACGGGACAUGUCAAAAGUUGGUAAGGUUCUUCGCGUUGCUUCGAAUUGAACCACAUGCUCCACCGCUUGUGCGGGCCCCCGUCAAUUCCUUUGAGUUUUAAUCUUGCGACCGUACUCCCCAGGCGGGAUGCUUAAAGCGUUAGCUGCGCCACUGACGAGCAAGCUCGCCAACGGCUAGCAUCCAUCGUUUACGGCGUGGACUAC
rnacentral:misc_RNA from 1 species